rnacentral:misc_RNA from 1 species
AAAUGCGAUAAGUAGUGUGAAUUGCAGAAUUCAGUGAAUCAUCGAAUCUUUGAACGCACAUUGCGCCCCUUGGUAUUCCAUGGGGCAUGCCUGUUCGAGCGUCAUUUGUACCCUCAAGCUCUGCUUGGUGUUGGGUGUUUGUCCCGUCUCCGCGCGUGGACUCGCCCCAAAGUGAUUGGCAGCCGGCGUACUGGUCCCGGAGCGCAGCACAUGUCGCGCAAACGAGUGCCUUGGUACGGCGGCGUCCAUAAGCCCCUCUCUCACGCUCUUGACCUCGGAUCUGGUAGGGAUAACCGCUGAACUUAAGC